rnacentral:rRNA from 1 species
AACGAACGCUGGCGGCAGGCUUAACACAUGCAAGUCGAGCGCCCCGCAAGGGGAGCGGCAGACGGGUGAGUAACGCGCGGGAAUCUACCCAUCUCUACGGAAUAACGCAUGGAAACGUGUGCUAAUACCGUAUACGUCCUUCGGGAGAAAGAUUUAUCGGAGAUGGAUGAGCCCGCGUUGGAUUAGCUAGUUGGUGGGGUAAAGGCCUACCAAGGCGACGAUCCAUAGCUGGUCUGAGAGGAUGAUCAGCCACACUGGGACUGAGACACGGCCCAGACUCCUACGGGAGGCAGCAGUGGGGAAUAUUGGACAAUGGGCGCAAGCCUGAUCCAGCCAUGCCGCGUGAGUGAUGAAAGCCCUAGGGUUGUAAUGCUCUUUCACCGGUGAAGAUAAUGACGGUAACCGGAGAAGAAGCCCCGGCUAACUUCGUGCCAGCCGCCGCAGUAACAC